rnacentral:rRNA from 1 species
GUGGGGAAUAUUGGGCAAUGGGCGAAAGCCUGACCCAGCAACGCCGCGUGAGGGAAGAAGGUUUUCGGAUUGUAAACCUCUGUCCUUGGUGACGAACACAAUGACGGUAGCCAAGGAGGAAGCCCCGGCUAACUACGUGCCAGCAGCCGCGGUAAUACGUAGGGGGCAAGCGUUGUCCGGAAUGACUGGGCGUAAAGGGCGUGUAGGCGGCCGAUUAAGUCUGGAGUGAAAGUCCUGCUUUCAAGGUGGGAAUUGCUUUGGAGACUGGUUGGCUUGAGGGCGGAAGAGGCAAGUGGAAUUCCCAGUGUAGCGGUGAAAUGCGUAGAGAUUGGGAGGAACACCAGUGGCGAAGGCGACUUGCUGGGCCGUAACUGACGCUGAGGCGCGAAAGCGUGGGGAGCGAACAGGAUUAGAUACCCCAGUAUCC